CCCAAUUCUAAAGAAGCCCAAUCUUGACCCUAACUCCCCAUCCAACUAUCGUCCUAUCUCGCUACUGCCUUUUGCAUCCAAGAUCCUUGAAAGAAUUGUGUAUGCGAGACUGACAGACUUCCUCGAGUCCAACUCUCUGCUAGACCCGCUUCAGUCUGGUUUCCGCGCUAAGCACUCUGUGGAAACGGCACUGACCAAAGUAUCCAAUGAUCUACUCGCUGCAAAAUCUCGUGGUCACUACUCUAUCCUAAUUCUCCUUGACCUGUCUGCAGCUUUUGACACUGUUGAUCAUCAACGGCUUCUUCUCAUCCUCCGCAAUAUCGGUCUACAAGAUAUUGCUCUCUCCUGGUGCUCCUCCUACCUCUCCCAGCGCUCUUUCAGUGUUUCUUU